rnacentral:tRNA from 1 species
GUAGUUGUAACUCAGUGGUAGAGUGCUUGCCUAGCAUGCAUGAGGCACUAGGUUCAAUCCUCAGCACCACA